rnacentral:rRNA from 1 species
AUUGAACGCUGGCGGCAGGCUUAACACAUGCAAGUCGAGCGGGGGAAGGUAGCUUGCUACCGGACCUAGCGGCGGACGGGUGAGUAAUGCUUAGGAAUCUGCCUAUUAGUGGGGGACAACAUCUCGAAAGGGAUGCUAAUACCUCAUACGUCCUACGGGAGAAAGCAGGGGAUCUUCGGACCUUGCGCUAAUAGAUGAGCCUAAGUCGGAUUAGCUAGUUGGUGGGGUAAAGGCCUACCAAGGCGACGAUCUGUAGCGGGUCUGAGAGGAUGAUCCGCCACACUGGGACUGAGACGCGGCCCAGACUCCUACGGGAGGCAGCAGUGGGGAAUAUUGGACAAUGGGGGGAACCCUGAUCCAGCCAUGCCGCGUGUGUGAAGAAGGCCUUAUGGUUGUAAAGCACUUUAAGCGAGGAGGAGGCUACUUUAGUUAAUACCUAGAGAUAGUGGACGUUAUUCGCAGAAUAAGCACCGGCUAACUCUGUGCCAGCAGCCGCGGUAA